AGCCCCUAGCGCAGACGGCGGAGAGCAGAGAGGGAGCGCGCCUUGGCUCGCUGGCCUUGGCGGCGGCUCCUCAGGAGAGCUGGGGCGCCCACGAGAGGAUCCCUCACCCGGGUCUCUCCUCAGGGAUGACAUCAUCCGUCCACCUCCUUGUCUUCAAGGACCACCUCCUCUCCAUGCUGAGCUGCUGCCAAGGGGCCUGCUGCCCAUCUACACCUCACGAGGGCACUAGGAGCACGGUUUCCUGGAUCCCACCAACAUACAAAGCAGCCACUCACUGACCCCCAGGACCAGGAUGGCAAAGGAUGAAGAGGACCGGAACUGACCAGCCAGCUGUCCCUCUUACCUAAAGACUUAAACCAAUGCCCUAGUGAGGGGGCAUUGGGCAUUAAGCCCUGACCUUUGCUAUGCUCAUACUUUGACUCUAUGAGUACUUUCCUAUAAGUCUUUGCUUGUGUUCACCUGCUAGCAAACUGGAGUGUUUCCCUCCCCAAGGGGGUGUCAGUCUUUGUCGACUGACUCUGUCAUCACCCUUAUGAUGUCCUGAAUGGAAGGAUCCCUUUGGGAAAUUCUCAGGAGGGGGACCUGGGCCAAGGGCUUGGCCAGCAUCCUGCUGGCAACUCCAAGGCCCUGGGUGGGCUUCUGGAAUGAGCAUGCUACUGAAUCACCAAAGGCACGCCCGACCUCUCUGAAGAUCUUCCUAUCCUUUUCUGGGGGAAUGGGGUCGAUGAGAGCAACCUCCUAGGGUUGUUGUGAGAAUUAAAUGAGAUAAAAGAGGCCUCAGGCAGGAUCUGGCAUAGAGGAGGUGAUCAGCAAAUGUUUGUUGAAAAGGUUUGACAGGUCAGUCCCUUCCCACCCCUCUUGCUUGUCUUACUUGUCUUAUUUAUUCUCCAACAGCACUCCAGGCAGCCCUUGUCCACGGGCUCUCCUUGCAUCAGCCAAGCUUCUUGAAAGGCCUGUCUACACUUGCUGUCUUCCUUCCUCACCUCCAAUUUCCUCUUCAACCCACUGCUUCCUGACUCGCUCUACUCCGUGGAAGCACGCUCACAAAGGCACGUGGGCCGUGGCCCGGCUGGGUCGGCUGAAGAACUGCGGAUGGAAGCUGCGGAAGAGGCCCUGAUGGGGCCCACCAUCCCGGACCCAAGUCUUCUUCCUGGCGGGCCUCUCGUCUCCUUCCUGGUUUGGGCGGAAGCCAUCACCUGGAUGCCUACGUGGGAAGGGACCUCGAAUGUGGGACCCCAGCCCCUCUCCAGCUCGAAAUCCCUCCACAGCCACGGGGACACCCUGCACCUAUUCCCACGGGACAGGCUGGACCCAGAGACUCUGGACCCGGGGCCUCCCCUUGAGUAGAGACCCGCCCUCUGACUGAUGGACGCCGCUGACCUGGGGUCAGACCCGUGGGCUGGACCCCUGCCCACCCCGCAGGAACCCUGAGGCCUAGGGGAGCUGUUGAGCCUUCAGUGUCUGCAUGUGGGAAGUGGGCUCCUUCACCUACCUCACAGGGCUGUUGUGAGGGGCGCUGUGAUGCGGUUCCAAAGCACAGGGCUUGGCGCACCCCACUGUGCUCUCAAUAAAUGUGUUUCCUGUCUUAACAA
rnacentral:lncRNA from 1 species